CAUCAGUCAUUAUCCGUCACCAGACACUCAUCAGAGGUGCCCGUUCAGUAGCGUCUGUACAUGCAGUUUGUGGCCAGUUAGACAAGCAGCUCGCGCUACUGUGAAUACAUUAAUUUUGUGCAAAAUUCACGGGACUGUGAAUCGAGGAAGUCAAGAGGGAAGAGCGCCGGGAUAGUGGUUUGCCAUCAAAACGUUUACAUGGGUGGUGAAGGGAUUCUACCUUAAGAAUGUGUGAAAUUAAAGUCUACAUUCUGCUUUUCUGGCUAAGUUUUACAGCGGUACGCAGUCAGCAGGAUGUCAGCCCUCCAAGGAUCUUAAAUGGGGAAGAACUUCUAGUGAAUAGAAGACCUGUAACACUGACUUGCGAGGGAAACGAAGCUCUCGUCUGGACAUACAAGUACCUGGAUUGCCAUUAUGUGAGUCUCUCUCUCUCUCUCUCCUUCAAGGAGUGCA